CUGCUCCUGAGCAGACACAGCCCAGACUCCUCCAGCCCCACUGAGACCUCAUGCUUACUCACCACUUGACAGCACUUUGUCACCACUUCCCAGGACAUGCUACUUCCUCACCUGGAAAUACCACAUCAUCUGGAAACUUUGGAUUUUCCUUCUUACAACAUAAAGCUUAUGUAUCUGUUUCUCAGUCAUGGGCUGCUCACCCUUGAUAUACACUGGGACUAAUUUUACCAGCACUUGGAGCCUCCUGGAAGUCAUUUCUCUGAGAUUUCUAUCUUACCCCUGUUCCUGGUAAAUUCGUAUUACAGUAGCCACUAAGAAAACCUAUAAAAAGUGACUACUGCUUCUUCUCAGGAUUCAUCUGUUGCUCUCAGCAAAUCCCAGGAAAGUACUGACAGCCUUAAUUUGCUCUGAAAGGCCACUGAAAUCUGCUUGUUUGAAGCAUCCCGUGUCCUGCAAGCCUGCAAAACCAGGAAACAUCCUGAGGAGCCUUUUUCCAGACCCUCUAAGCUACACAUGCCCCCAAAGACAAAGAAGAGAAACAAAAUCAGAGCAGGAUGCCUCAAGGUGCCAGGGCAGCCAUCUUAGCUAGUGGACUGCAGGCAGGCACGGGGUUCCCAUGUUUCCCUUUCAGAGUAGGACAGGUGCUCUGUCAGCUCCAGGGUAGCAAGGGAAGGCUCUGCAGCAGGAAGCAGAGAAACAACAAGCUAUUAGGUGCCAGGUGAGCUGUGUAGGGAGUGUUAGUGCAGUCAAAAUACCAUGAGCACAAACCAGACCAUACACUGAGGUAUCGCACAAGGCCUCUUCUAUCAGCCCAGGGUGAAUUCGCUGCUCCCAUGGGAAAAAUUAAAGUGUCCAGGGCAGCAGACAGUCUGUUUGCAAGCUACAGAAAUAGUGAGUGGUUGAUGUCUAGACUCGGGAAAGGAAAUUCCUGUUCGUGUUUAGUAGAACAACACACGUACACAUACAAAUAAAAAAACAGGAAGGCGCAUGCUGCUGUAGUCUUUGAUAGCAGCCCAAGGGAAACGUAACUGAGAAGAAGCAGCAAACUCAGACACCACCAUCAGGCUUGUGAAGAAGCUGAGUGCUUUGAGAAAUAAGCCUCAGCGAAAGCAAGUCCAGCACAUCAGUACAAAACUGACUCCAAAAUUAAUGCAAGGGACAAGGCCUUAGGAGAGACCCAGUUAAUUCAAACAGUUU